CGUUGCACUAUCGUUAACUGAAUACAUAGGUUAACGAGGCGAACCGGGGGAACUGAAACAUCUAAGUACCCCGAGGAAAAGAAAUCAACCGAGAUUCCCCCAGUAGCGGCGAGCGAACGGGGAGCAGCCCGGAGUCUGAAUCAGCUUGUGUGUUAGUGGAACGGUCUGGAAAGUCCGACGGUACAGGGUGAUAGUCCCGUACACGAAAGCACACAUGCUGUGAACUCGAAGAGUAGGGCGGGACACGUGGUAUCCUGUCUGAAUAUGGGGGGACCAUCCUCCAAGGCUAAAUACUCCUGACUGACCGAUAGUGAACCAGUACCGUGAGGGAAAGGCGAAAAGAACCCCGGCGAGGGGAGUGAAAAAGAACCUGAAACCGUGUACGUACAAGCAGUGGGAGCCUCUUUAUGGGGUGACUGCGUACCUUUUGUAUAAUGGGUCAGCGACUUAUAUUCUGUAGCAAGGUUAACCGUAUAGGGGAGCCGAAGGGAAACCGAGUCUUAACUGGGCGUUAAGUUGCAGGGUAUAGACCCGAAACCCGGUGAUCUAGCCAUGGGCAGGUUGAAGGUUGGGUAACACUAACUGGAGGACCGAACCGACUAAUGUUGAAAAAUUAGCGGAUGACCUGUGGCUGGGGGUGAAAGGCCAAUCAAACCGGGAGAUAGCUGGUUCUCCCCGAAAGCUAUUUAGGUAGCGCCUCGUGAACUCAUCUUCGGGGGUAGAGCACUGUUUCGGCUAGGGGGCCAUCCCGGCUUACCAACCCGAUGCAAACUACGAAUACCGAAGAAUGUUAUCACGGGAGACACACGGCGGGUGCUAACGUCCGUCGUGAAGAGGGAAACAACCCAGACCGCCAGCUAAGGUCCCAAAGUCAUGGUUAAGUGGGAAACGAUGUGGGAAGGCACAGACAGCCAGGAUGUUGGCUUAGAAGCAGCCAUCAUUUAAAGAAAGCGUAAUAGCUCACUGGUCGAGUCGGCCUGCGCGGAAGAUGUAACGGGGCUAAACCAUGCACCGAAGCUGCGGCAGCGACGCUUAUGCGUUGUUGGGUAGGGGAGCGUUCUGUAAGCCGUUGAAGGUGUCCUGUGAGGGGUGCUGGAGGUAUCAGAAGUGCGAAUGCUGACAUAAGUAACGAUAAAGCGGGUGAAAAGCCCGCUCGCCGGAAGACCAAGGGUUCCUGUCCAACGUUAAUCGGGGCAGGGUGAGUCGACCCCUAAGGCGAGGCCGAAAGGCGUAGUCGAUGGGAAACAGGUUAAUAUUCCUGUACUUGGUGUUACUGCGAAGGGGGGACGGAGAAGGCUAUGUCAGCCGGGCGACGGUUGUCCCGGUUUAAGCAUGUAGGCGGAGGUUCCAGGUAAAUCCGGUACCUUGUUAACGCUGAGGUGUGAUGACGAGGCACUACGGUGCUGAAGUGAUAAAUGCCCUGCUUCCAGGAAAAGCCUCUAAGCAUCAGGUAACACGAAAUCGUACCCCAAACCGACACAGGUGGUCAGGUAGAGAAUACCAAGGCGCUUGAGAGAACUCGGGUGAAGGAACUAGGCAAAAUGGUGCCGUAACUUCGGGAGAAGGCACGCUGAUAUGUAGGUGAAGUCCCUGCGGACGGAGCUGAAAUCAGUCGAAGAUACCAGCUGGCUGCAACUGUUUAUUAAAAACACAGCACUGUGCAAACACGAAAGUGGACGUAUACGGUGUGACGCCUGCCCGGUGCCGGAAGGUUAAUUGAUGGGGUUAGCGGCAACGCGAAGCUCUUGAUCGAAGCCCCGGUAAACGGCGGCCGUAACUAUAACGGUCCUAAGGUAGCGAAAUUCCUUGUCGGGUAAGUUCCGACCUGCACGAAUGGCGUAAUGAUGGCCAGGCUGUCUCCACCCGAGACUCAGUGAAAUUGAACUCGCUGUGAAGAUGCAGUGUACCCGCGGCAAGACGGAAAGACCCCGUGAACCUUUACUAUAGCUUGACACUGAACACUGGUCCUUGAUGUGUAGGAUAGGUGGGAGGCUUUGAAGCGUGGACGCCAGUCUGCGUGGAGCCAACCUUGAAAUACCACCCUUUAAUGGCUGGUGUUCUAACGUAGACCCGUAAUCCGGGUUGCGGACAGUGUCUGGUGGGUAGUUUGACUGGGGCGGUCUCCUCCCAAAGAGUAACGGAGGAGCACGAAGGUUGGCUAAUCCUGGUCGGACAUCAGGAGGUUAGUGCAAUGGCAUAAGCCAGCUUGACUGCGAGCGUGACGGCGCGAGCAGGUGCGAAAGCAGGUCAUAGUGAUCCGGUGGUUCUGAAUGGAAGGGCCAUCGCUCAACGGAUAAAAGGUACUCCGGGGAUAACAGGCUGAUACCGCCCAAGAGUUCAUAUCGACGGCGGUGUUUGGCACCUCGAUGUCGGCUCAUCACAUCCUGGGGCUGAAGUAGGUCCCAAGGGUAUGGCUGUUCGCCAUUUAAAGUGGUACGCGAGCUGGGUUUAGAACGUCGUGAGACAGUUCGGUCCCUAUCUGCCGUGGGCGCUGGAGAAUUGAGGGGGGCUGCUCCUAGUACGAGAGGACCGGAGUGGACGCAUCACUGGUGUUCGGGUUGUCAUGCCAAUGGCACUGCCCGGUAGCUAAAUGCGGAAGAGAUAAGUGCUGAAAGCAUCUAAGCACGAAACUUGCCCCGAGAUGAGUUCUCCCUGAGACCUUGAGUCUCCUGAAGGAACGUUGAAGACGACGACGUUGAUAGGUCGGGUGUGUAAGCGCAGCGAUGCGUUGAGCUAACCGAUACUAAUGAACCGUGAGGCUUAACCUU
rnacentral:rRNA from 1 species